UGGGGAAUAUUGGACAAUGGGCGAAAGCCUGAUCCAGCCAUGCCGCGUGUGUGAAGAAGGCCUUUUGGUUGUAAAGCACUUUAAGCGAGGAGGAGGCUACUUAGAUUAAUACUCUAGGAUAGUGGACGUUACUCGCAGAAUAAGCACCGGCUAACUCUGUGCCAGCAGCCGCGGUAAUACAGAGGGUGCGAGCGUUAAUCGGAUUUACUGGGCGUAAAGCGUGCGUAGGCGGGUUUUUAAGUCGGAUGUGAAAUCCCUGAGCUUAACUUAGGAAUUGAAGUAGAUACUGGGAAGCUAGAGUAGGGGAGAGGAUGGGAGAAUUCCAGGUGGAGCGGGGAAAUGCGUAGAGAGCUGGAGGAAUACCGAUGGCGAAGGCAGCCAUCUGGCCUAAUACUGACGCUGAGGUACGAAAGCAUGGGGAGCAAACAGG
rnacentral:rRNA from 1 species